UCGUAACAAGGUCUCCGUUGGUGAACCAGCGGAGGGAUCAUUACCGAGUUAUACAACUCCCAAACCCCUGUGAACUUACCUAUAACGUUGCUUCGGCGGGAACCGACGGCCCCGUAACACGGGCCGCCCCCGCCAGAGGACCCCCUAACUCUUGUUAUUUAUAUGUUUCUCUGAGUAAAACAAGCAAAUAAAUUAAAACUUUCAACAACGGAUCUCUUGGCUCUGGCAUCGAUGAAGAACGCAGCGAAAUGCGAUAAGUAAUGUGAAUUGCAGAAUUCAGUGAAUCAUCGAAUCUUUGAACGCACAUUGCGCCCGCCAGUAUUCUGGCGGGCAUGCCUGUCCGAGCGUCAUUACAACCCUCAGGCCCCCGGGCCUGGCGUUGGGGAUCGGCGGAGCCCUCUGGGCACACGCCGCCCCCUAAAUCUAUUGGCGGUCUCGCUGCAGCCCACUGCGUAGUAGCUAACACCUCGCAACUGGAAAGCGGCGCGGCCAUGCCGUAAAACACCCAACUUUAUGAUGUUGACCUCGGAUCAGGUAGGAAUACCCGCUGAACUUAAGCAUAUCAAUAA
rnacentral:rRNA from 1 species